AACGCAAGUUGCGCCCGAGGCCAUCUGGCCGAGGGCACGCCUGCCUGGGCGUCACGCCAAACACGCUCCCACCCCACUAAACAUGGGGCGGGAUGCGGCAUGUGGCUCUCCGUCUCGCAAGGGGCGGUGGGCCGAAGAUCCGGCUGCCGGCGUAUCGUGCCGGACACAGCGCGUGGUAGGCGAUCUCGCUAUACUAAACGCAGUGCAUUCGGGACGUAGCCGACGCAAUGCCCUCAAUGGACCCUAUUAACGGAGCGCACGACACUUCGACCGCGACCCCAGGUCAGGCGGGACUACCCGCUGAAUUUAA
rnacentral:misc_RNA from 1 species